rnacentral:RNase_MRP_RNA from 1 species
CACGAGCUUUGGUGAAAGUCUCCUGACAGGCGAGGCGGCUUUCACUCUGAAGCGGCUGCAGUCACGGACGAAGAA